UACGUAGGGUGCAAGCGUUGUCCGGAAUUAUUGGGCGUAAAGAGCUCGUAGGCGGUCUGUCGCGUCGGCUGUGAAAACUCGGGGCUCAACCCCGAGCUUGCAGUCGAUACGGGCAGGCUAGAGUUCGGCAGGGGGAGACUGGAAUUCCUGGUGUAGCGGUGAAAUGCGCAGAUAUCAGGAGGAACACCGGUGGCGAAGGCGGGGUCUCUGGGGCCGAUACUGACGCUGAGGAGCGAAAGCGUGGGGAGCGAACAGG
rnacentral:rRNA from 1 species